rnacentral:rRNA from 1 species
GACGAACGCUGGCGGCGUGCUUAACACAUGCAAGUCGAGCGGAGCGGAGAACGGGUGAGUAACGCGUGAGUAACUUCCCCCCUCUCGGGGAUAACAGUUGGAAACGGCUGCUAAUACCGGAUAGUGGGGGAUGGCUCGCGUCCUAUCGGCUUGUUGGUGGGGUAGUGGCCUACCAAGGCGACGACGGGUAGCCGGCCUGGGAGGGCGACCGGCCUCAUAUGGCUAGGAUACUGCCCAAACGCCAACGGGGGGCAGCGGUGGGGAGUAGUCCGCAAUGGGGGGAACCAGGAAGCAGGAAUCCGCGUGCGGAAUGGCGGCCUUCGGGUUGGAAACCGCGUUCAGCCAUGAUGCGGUAGUGGCAGAAGAAGCACCGGCUAACUACGUGCCAGCAGCCGCGGUAAUUC